rnacentral:rRNA from 1 species
UGGAGGGCAAGUCUGGUGCCAGCAGCCGCGGUAAUUCCAGCUCCAAUAGCGUAUAUUAAAGUUGUUGCAGUUAAAAAGCUCGUAGUUGAAUUUCGGGAUCAGUAGGUUGGUCAUGCCUAUGGUAUGUACUGGUUUUACUGGUUCCUCCUUCUUGAUGAUCUGUAAUGUCAUUAAUUUGGUGUUGCAGGGAGUCAGGACUGUUACUUUGAAAAAAUUAGAGUGUUUAAAGCAGGC